rnacentral:lncRNA from 1 species
CGGGAGACGACAGCGCCACUCCUGUCCCUGGCGGAGAGCCGCAACACAUUCUAUCAACGCGCUUGGAAAAACCCGCCGUCCGCCGAAUCAAGAGUUCGGUUCUCGAGCCGUUUCCGUCCGUCUGCGUCCCGGCGCCACCAGACGUCCUCCGAUCGCCAGCUGAAGCAGG